UUCUUUUACAGCACCUAGGAGAUUGGUUGAAGUCAGAAGCACUCCGGCUUGAAGACUAUAGGUGGAAUGCCGUGUUUCCAAGACUAGGAGAAAACCAUCUGUUCCCCAUUCCCCUAACAGAGCAGCCAGGGCUGGCCUCUAUUCUGUAGCACAGAGCUUUCCAUCCAGUGUGCUGUGGCAGCAUGGGUUCUAGGGACACCAAAAGAAUGAUCGCCUCUGCCUUUGAGAUGGUUAGUAGGUGGCCAGAGCCCCAAGGCCAAGGGUCUUCUGUCACAAGCAGCCUUGUCUAUUUCCUGCACACACUGUACAAAUACCAUCUUUGUUUUCCAAGAUGAGGUGGCUGGAAAUCACUGCUUAGCAGAUCCCUGGAUGUGCCUUCUCUCUCAGAAAGUUCUUAUAGUUCAGAAUCUCUAACUAUGGAUAUAUCUGAUGGGUUGUUUCUGUUUCCCCAGCCUGCCCAGCUGUCUUCCAAGGAGAACGCUCUGGUGUGGAUUGCUGUGAAUGAGGAUGGUGUCAGCAUCCUGGACCACAACACUAUGCAAGUGCACGUCACUUACCCCUACUCUUCAGUGA
rnacentral:sRNA from 1 species